GCAGACUGCACGUACUCGGGUCACUUUCCCGCCAAUUCUACCAGACGAGCUUCUAUUUAUGGACAGUGGCUGCCCGAGAAGUACUAUACGUCAGCUUCAUAACACGAGCUGGAUUCGUCGACGCGGUGGUUAGUACAUGCUGGAUUAUCGCAUGAGAAGGCGACUUGAAAGAACACGCGGCUGACAGACGAACCUUCUACAACGUGCUAGUCUUCUCUGCGAUCGUGGCGCCCCCAUGCGGACCUUCACCGACAACAGCAA